rnacentral:rRNA from 1 species
UCCUGACCUGGGGUAGCCGGUCCGCCUUGCAAAAGGUGCGCACUGAGCGGCCUCGGUCAUCCUUGAGAAGAGCGGUCCUGGCAUUCAGUUGUCGGGGUCGGGAUUCUCGACGUUUACUGUGAAAAAAUCAGAGUGUUCAACGCAGGCUUACGCCUUGAAUACAUUAGCAUGGAAUAAUGAGAUAGGACCUUGGCGGUCUAUUUUGUUGGUUUGCACGCCGAGGUAAUGAUUAAAAGGGACGGUUGGGGUUCUUCGUAUUCAAUUGUCAGAGGUGAAAUUCUUGGAUUUAUGGAAGACGAACUGCUGCGAAAGCGUCGAACAAGGACGUUCUCAUUAAUCAAGAACGAAAGUUAGGGGAUCGAAGAUGAUUAGAUACCAUCGUAGUCUUAACCAUAAACUAUGCCGAUUCAGGAUUGGCGGUCGUUUGUUCUCGACUCCGUCAGCACUGUAUGAGAAAUCAAAAUCUUUGGGUUCCGGGGGGAGUAUGGUCGCAAGGCUGAAACUUAAAGAAAUUGACGGAAGGGCACCACCAGGAG